UUUGAUGAACGGACCACAGGAGACUCAGAAUUUAUUGGAAGGAUCUACAACAAAGGGAAAAAAGUGUAUGACAUGAAACAUGUGACUAGUGCAAGAUGUGUCAAGACAGAAAAGUUGGAUGCACUUCUAACAUGUUUCUAAUGAUUGAGACCAAUGCCUUCUCAAACUUGCAGUACGGACAUCUAGGGGUGAAUUUUAACUCACAGAAACAGGCGCGCCUAAAGCAAUCAAUGCAGAACUAGCUCAUGCCCGGUUCCCAACUCAACUAAAAAUCCAGCCCAGUUUAAGGAAAGGUUAGCACACUGGCUAUGAAGUUACAGCAGACUUGGUACAUGGCAACAGAGCA